rnacentral:lncRNA from 1 species
AGGUUUCCUCAAGCUGUUUGCUAUCACUUUUCCCCCCCAAAAAAAAAGUUGCAGUCCUUUCUGGGCUGCUGGCAUAGCUGUCAGUGCAAUUGUGCCCAAAGCUGAUUCAAAAUAAGGUACCCUCUUGUGCUCUUCUUGAAAGAUCAGUGAAAAUAUAAAAAUACUGACUGUGCAGUGGUGACAUUACAGAACUCAAUAUGGAUAUGACAAGACUGAAAACAAGAUGUGGGUCUUCUCCAGGAAGUGAAGAUCUGCAAGUGAUCUAG